CCAAAAUUCUAGAAACCAAUAGGUUGAUUGGACUGAAUUUUAAGGAUUGGCUCCUAAACUUGAAAAUUAUUUUGAGUUUCAAGAAAUUGGCUUACGUCCUUGACCAGGACCUUCUCCCUCUACUAGCUCAUCCGACCGCUAAUCAGAGAGUGUCUCAUAGGAAGUAAUUAGAUGAUGACAAUAAAGUUAGGUGCUAUGUGU
rnacentral:lncRNA from 1 species